CCUACGGGAGACUGCAGUGGGGAAUAUUGCACAAUGGGCGAAAGCCUGAUGCAGCAAAGCCGCGUGAAGGAAGAAGGGUUUAGGCUCGUAAACUUCUAUCAACAGGGGCGAAAGAAAUGACAGUACCUGCAUAAGAAGCCUCGGCUAACUACGUGCCAGCAGCAGCGGUAAUCCGAAGGGUGCAAGCGUUAUCCGGAAUUACUGGGUGUAAAGGGUGAGUAGGCGGCAUGGUAAGCCAGAUGUGAAAGCCUUGGGCUUAACCCUAGGAUUGCAUUUGGAACUAUCAAGCUAGAGUACAGGAGAGGAAAGCGGAAUUCGUAGUGUAGCGGUGAAAUGCGUAGAUAUUAGGAAGAACACCAGUGGCGAAGGCGGCUUUCUGGACUGAAACUGACGCUGAGGCACGAAAGCGUGGGGAGCGAACAGGAUUAGAUACCCUUGUAGUC
rnacentral:rRNA from 1 species